GGGGGGGGGGGGGGGGGGGGGGGGGGGGUGGGGGGGGGGGGGGGGGGGCGUGCGGGGGGGGGGUGCGCGAGUGGCGAACGGGGGAGUGACACGUGAGUAACCUGCCCUUGACUUUGGGGUAGCUUCAGGAAACUGGGGCUAAUACCGGAUAGGGGCUCCUGCUGCAUGGUGGGGGUUGGAAAGUUUCGGCGGUUGGGGAUGGACUCGCGGCUUAUCAGCUUGUUGGUGGGGUAGUGGCUUACCAAGGCUUUGACGGGUAGCCGGCCUGAGAGGGUGACCGGCCACAUUGGGACUGCGAUACGGCCCAGACUCCUACGGGAGGCAGCAGUGGGGAAUAUUGCACAAUGGGCGGAAGCCUGAUGCAGCAACGCCGCGUGCGGGAUGACGGCCUUCGGGUUGUAAACCGCUUUCGCCUGUGACGAAGCGUGAGUGACGGUAAUGGGUAAAGAAGCACCGGCUAACUACGUG
rnacentral:rRNA from 1 species